rnacentral:rRNA from 1 species
GACAGGGGGGUGCAAACGUUGCUCGGAAUCAUUGGGCGUAAAGCGCACGUAGGCGGUUCGUUAUGUCGGAUGUGAAAGCCCUUGGCUUAACCGAGGAAGUGCAUCCGAAACUGGCGAGCUAGAGUACGAAAGAGGAUCGCGGAAUUCCCGGUGUAGAGGUGAAAUUCGUAGAUAUCGGGAGGAACACCGGUGGCGAAGGCGGCGAUCUGGGUCGAUACUGACGCUGAGGUGCGAAAAGCGUGGGGAGCAAACAGG